UACGUAGGGUGCGAGCGUUGUCCGGAUUUAUUGGGCGUAAAGAGCGUGUAGGCGGCUAUACAGGUCCGCUGUGAAAACUCGAGGCUCAACCUCGAGACGUCGGUGGAAACCGUAUGGCUAGAGUCCGGAAGAGGAGAGUGGAAUUCCUGGUGUAGCGGUGAAAUGCGCAGAUAUCAGGAAGAACACCGGUGGCGAAGGCAGCUCGCUGGGACGGUACUGACGCUGAGACGCGAAAGCGUGGGGAGCGAACAGG
rnacentral:rRNA from 1 species